AAACUGGUUUUGAUGAUCAACAGACCUUGUCUUUUCUUGGAGAAGGGAAACUUGGGGCGUAUUCAGAGCACAUAGAUCCUUCCAGCAGAAAGGCCUUGGGCCUUGGCAUGUGACUUUCUAUACCAUUGCUCUUUUUUGACAAGCGUCUCCAAUUGUCACAGCUGUCAGUAAUGGGACCUUCCCUGAAGCAGAUGAAGGACCUUUUGUGGCUGUCAUUAAGGGACAGUUGUGCAAGCAAAUAAAAUAUUUGUGAGAGACAGGAGAAACAGUCUACUCUGCUACAAACUAGUAGUGAGAUCAGCUCAUGCCAAAACAUCAUUGGACUCUGGCAGGGGAUGCAGCUUUCCAGCUAAUGGAAAAACUGUGAAAACUAAACAAGUAAAAGGGAAAACAAAAUACACCUGGUCCUGGAGUGAGUUUUAAGUGAAAAUAUUUUUUGUUUAUUUUUUGAGGUAAGGGCUGAGUUUGCUGAAGCCGACCUUUAA